UAUCCGGACUAUUACGAUCGUAUGUGAGGAUAAUGGUAUACACAAACCAAUAUAAAGAUAAGUCAGAAUGUCUUAACGUCAAUUGAAAAGCUAAUCACAAUAAUGGCGAAGGCACUCUUAAUUAGCGUAUUGUUCAUUGUUUACUUUGUCAACUCCAUAAACUGUGCACACAAUAGAACAAAACGUGACGGUGAAGAGGCAGUGUUAGAAAAAGACGGCUCCAACGCAGAACCGAAUGAAAAUGCAACAAACAAUGAGGGGAUUGAAAAAUUCGAUGGCUUCAAAGAUUAUGAUCCCUUCCAAGUGUUUUACAAUGUUCUGAAAGACAUUUUUGAUCCUUGAUAUGUAUCGAUUAAGUAAUUAUUACAGCUGUUAUAAAAGAAUUGAAUAAAAAAAAUUAAAGUCAAUCUUCAAACAUU